CCUGAAGGUGGCCCUACAGCAUCCCUGGAGUCUGGCAGCCAGGUCCUGCAGACACGCACGAGCACACAGCCCUGGGGCUGACACGGUGCCAGCUCCGGAGCGGUGCCUCGGGCAGUGCAAAGAAGCCUGAAAGUCUCUCAAAAUAAACAUCAGAACUGAAGUGCAGCGCGGACACGGAGUAGAAACAUGUUUUACCCCAAAGAGGCUUUGGACACAACUGCUCUUUGGUUUGAAAAGGAGACCCCAGCAGUUACAGAAACCCUCUGCAGUGUGACGUCCUGGGGACACCUGCCUUGCCUCCCUCCUGGCUGCUCUUCUGUUCUCAUCACUUCUCACCCCA